rnacentral:lncRNA from 1 species
AGCUGGUUGCCAGCGCUAUAACCUCCUCCCUGGACUUCCAAACUUAAUGACGGUGUUGGAGUGGCAGAUGUGUUGUUACCUACCCUCACCACCAGGGGGCAGCCCAUCAGGAAGUCCAGGAUCCAGUUAUAGAGGGAGGUGCUCAUACCAAGGGCCUUCAGCUUUAGUGUCAAGCUUGGAGUGGACAACAUCCUCACACAGGUGUUCCUCGUGUCCAGUUAAAUAUCAUUGAGCUGCGUGCACCACAAGCUGUUUACAGGCAUUGAACACCAUUCGGCAUUUUGCCGUCUAUUUUCCAACUUCAAAUCGGUUAAAUCACAUUGUUAAAAUGUUUUCAUUCAGUUACAAAAGUAACAGUCCUGGCCCAUAUGAUAGUGUGCGGUGGCCACAUCAAGGUUACAAUGUAGCCAAGCUGUGUCUGUAUGCCCUAUGGUCCAAAUGAAAAAGCACAGGACGUGCGUCUGGAUAAAACAGCUCUGCCUGGCAACACGAGGGGCUAAAGGGGGUUGAUCCCUCUCAGUUGAUCCCCCUCAGUUUACAUUGUUUGGAAACUGAUAUGUGAUAAGUAUUAAUGCAAAAAUAACAUGCAAAACAGGCAACACAAAAUAAAAUAAUAUAAAAAAAUAAAUAAUAAUAAAAAAGAAUUUCUGGCCAGAAAUCUUUGGGUCAAAUACUUAUUUCCCUCAUUAAAAUGCAAAUCAUUUUAUAACAUGCGUUUUUCUGGAUAUUUUCAUUGUUAUUCUGUCUCUCACUGUUCAAAUAAACCUACCAUUAAAAUUA